rnacentral:lncRNA from 1 species
UGCCACCACGUGAGAAGUGCCUUUCGCCUCCCGCCAUGAUUCUGAGGCCUCCCUAGCCAUGGGGACCUGUCGUCGCUGCCCUCAGCCUCCAGAUGCAGCCCCCCUGCCACCUUCAGGACCCCUGGCUCUCCCCUGGACUCAGUAGCGAAAGGGUUUAUGUGCUCGGAGGGAGACCUUCAGGAAUCUGUGCAUAGAAUGCCAUAGUGCAGAGGAAAGUCUUCUUUCUGAAACCAGCCCAACUUUUCUCCCAGAGAGUAUCAUGGAACUGAACUUUCAAGAUCAUGGCAUCUGGACAUCGAGAAAACAGAACCCUCAUCUGGCCACCUGCUGCUUUUUGACCAAUUCCCAUAUAAACCGCUAACUUCAGUCAGUUGGAGGGAUGGAUUUGAGAUUUGCCUUCUGUCUCUCAGGUGAUGUCACCAGCAAUAAAGCCUUCUUCCCUGGCAAUA